UGCUGCGAUAAGUUGGAUUUAAAGAUCUCGUGAUUAAAUAAAUUAACGCAAUUGUAUUUGCAAGAAGAUAACAGAUAUAAGGCGAUUGUAAAUAGGUAGACGUCUGAAAGGAGAUAAAAUUUAUGCAUAGCGUUCGCAGGCGCAUAGAGACAAGCCAUCAAGAGAAUAUGCCAGCUGUAUAAUAAAUUAAGAAAUACUCAGAUGACGGUGUCGCUAUUUUUAAAGAAGAAUGAACGCACGUGGGAAUAAUUUAAUAAAUUUGAUUCUCAAUUCUUGUUCUUACUAAAUUAAAAUUAUCAAGAAAAAUUAUUAAAUUACGUGAUGAUUAAGACUGAUAUAAUAAAUAUAAUUUGUUCAAUCCCAAAAUUGCUCAAAAUAUGAGUAAAAUACUAAAAAUAGUUGUAAAUACGUGUAUUAUUUCUGGAAUAAAUUUAUUCGCUUUUUCUUUCA